CCUACGGGAGGCAGCAGUGGGGAAUAUUGGGCAAUGGACGAAAGUCUGAACCAGCCACGUAGCGUGAAGGAUGACUGCCCUAUGGGUUGUAAACUUCUUUUAUAUGGGAAUAAAAUGUUGCACGUGUGGGAUUUUGUAUGUACCAUAUGAAUAAGGGUCGGCUAACUCAGUGCCAGCAGCCGCGGUAAUACGGAGGGUCCGAGCGUUAUCCGGAUUUAGUGGGUUUAAAGGGAGCGUAGGUGGAUUGUUAAGUCAGUUGUGAAAGUUUGCGGCUCAACCGUAAAAUUGCAUUUGAAACUGGCAGUCUUGAGUACAGUAGAGGUGGGCGGAAUUCGUGGUGUAGCGGUGAAAUGCUUAGAUAUCACGAAGAACUCCGAUUGCGAAGGCAGCUCACUGGACUGCAACUGACACUGAGGCUUGAAAGUGUGGGUAUCAAACAGGAUUAGAUACCCCAGUAGUC
rnacentral:rRNA from 1 species